rnacentral:rRNA from 1 species
CUCGUAGGCGGCCAACUAAGUCAGACGUGAAAUCCCUCGGCUUAACCGGGGAACGUGCGUCUGAUACUGGAUGGCUUGAGAUUGGGAGAGGGAUGCGGAAUUCCAGGUGUAGCGGUGAAAUGCGUAGAUAUCUGGAGGAACACCGGUGGCGAAGGCGGCAUCCUGGACCAACACUGACGCUGAGGAGCGAAAGCCAGGGGAGCAAACG